rnacentral:rRNA from 1 species
CCUACGGGAGGCAGCAGUGAGGAAUAUUGGGCAAUGGACGCAAGUCUGAACCAGCCAUGCCGCGUGCAGGAAGACGGCUCUCUGAGUUGUAAACUGCUUUUGUACGAGGGUAAACGCAGAUACUCGUAGCUGUCUGAAAGUAUCGUACGAAUAAGGAUCGGCUAACUCCGUGCCAGCAGCCGCGGUAAUAAGGAGGAUUCAAGCGGUAUCCGGGUUUAUUGGGUUUAAAGGGAGCGUAGGCGGUCUGAUAAGUGAGAUGUGAAAUCCCGGGGCUCAACGUCGGAAUUGCCUUUGAUACUGUUUGGCUAGAGUGUAGUAGCGGUAGGCGGAAUGCAUGGUGUAGCGGUGAAAUGCGUAGAGAUCAUGCAGAACACCGAUUGCGAAGGCAGCUUACCAAGCUACUUCUGACGUUGAGGCACGAAAGUGUGGGGAGCAAACAGGAUUAGAUACCCUUGUAGUC